rnacentral:rRNA from 1 species
UACGUAGGGGGCAAGCGUUGUCCGGAAUUAUUGGGCGUAAAGAGCUCGUAGGCGGUUUGUCGCGUCUGCUGUGAAAACUCGGGGCCUAACCCCGGGCCUGCAGUGGGUACGGGCAGACUAGAGUGCGGUAGGGGAGACUGGAAUUCCUGGUGUAGCGGUGAAAUGCGCAGAUAUCAGGAGGAACACCGGUGGCGAAGGCGGGUCUCUGGGCCGUAACUGACGCUGAGGAGCGAAAGCGUGGGGAGCGAACAGG